GCCUCUCUCUCAAACUGCCUCAUCCAUCCCGAGUCUCUCCAUCCCCGCCGAAGCGAUCGCCGAGUGUUCGACGAGUGCCUGAGCGGAGUUCAUCGCCGCAAGCAUAAAGCUACCCACCUCGCGGAGUUCGUUCCCCGGCGCGUCGACGCUGGAAGUACUGAAGAUUGGCCCAUCGGCUCAUCUUGAUACAUAUGGAGCGGGAUCAUUCGGCUUUGAAGAAAAUGAGAUUGGACGACACAGAAGAUUCUGCGAUCAGUCAAGUGCCUGCCAUGGCGUCUAGUAUGAAUCAGGAACUGUUCUGGAGCCAGUGGCAGCUACUGGAUUCCAUUCUCCCCACAGGCGGUUUCGCACACUCCUACGGCCUGGAAGCAGCUAUGCAAUCGCGCAUAGUGAACAACCAAGAAGACCUGAGGCUGUUCCUCAUCCAGGUCGUGGACAACAUUGGAAGCCUGCUGCUUCCAUUUGUGUACUGCGCCAGUAGGUCUCCUGACGCCGCGGCAUGGGUCAAGCUAGAUCAGCUGCUGGACGCUACAUUGACGAACGAGGUCGGCAGGAAGGCAUCCACAUCCCAAGGCUCGGCUCUGUUGAGGGUGGCCGCGUCUGUCUUCACUGAGAUCCAGUCGCUGCAGGAUCUCCGACGGACAUUUCUCGGUUCCACGAGCGUGUCCUUUCACCAUGCCCCGAUAUUCGGGUUGAUAUGUGGGCUGGUUGGAUUUGAUAGCGAGACAACGCAACGCGCUUACAUGUUUGUGGCAAUGAGGGAUGUGAUCUCUGCCGCGACGAGGCUCAAUUUGAUCGGACCGCUAGCUGCUUCGGUUCUGCAGCACCAGGUUGCGCCAGAUGCCGAGAAGAUGCUGCAAAAGUGGAGGGACCGUGAUGUCUCUGAAGCAUCACAGACUGCGCCGCUGCUUGACGCAUUGCAAGGCUGCCAUGCUUACAUGUUCUCUAGGCUGUUUUGCUCCUAAUAGUGAGGUUGCUGAAUGCAAUUUGGUGUAGUUCUGCUCAUGGUUUUACCUCAGAGAAGUACAGGACCCCUGGCUUUACUAAACAACAAUGGCAUCAGAAGAUUACAAGCAUCCUGAGGAAAGAUGCCCAGUAUAAUUCUUUAUUUUACUUGCAAGCAAGAUUGUACAAAAAUGCCAAUAGUACAUUAUGUUCAUGUUGCUGAAUGUAAUUUGGUGUACUUCUGCUCACAGUUUUACCCCGGAGAGUAGAGAACUACUGGCUUUUCCUAAAGAAAAAUGGCAUCAGAAGAUUGCAAGCACCCCGAGGACAGAUGCCCAGUAUGAUUCUAUAUUUGCAGGCAAGAUUGUACAACAAUGUCAAUAGCCCAAUAGUAAUUAUGUUCAUGUGUGAGCCCUCUGUACCAUCUAUUACACUCAUCAUACAUAGGAUACAUCUAUCUUUAGCUUCACCAAAUACAACAA